GAUGAACGCUGGCGGCGUGCCUAAUACAUGCAAGUCGAGCGAACGUACGAGAAGCUUGCUUUUCUGAUGUUAGCGGCGGACGGGUGAGUAACACGUGGAUAACCUACCUAUAAGACUGGGAUAACUUCGGGAAACCGGAGCUAAUACCGGAUAAUAUUUUGAACCGCAUGGUUCAAAAGUGAAAGACGGUCUUGCUGUCACUUAUAGAUGGAUCCGCGCUGCAUUAGCUAGUUGGUAAGGUAACGGCUUACCAAGGCAACGAUGCAUAGCCGACCUGAGAGGGUGAUAGGCCACACUAGAACUGAGACACGGUCCAGACUCCUACGGGAGGCAGCAGUAGGGAAUCUUCCGCAAUGGGCGAAAGCCUGACGGAGCAACGCCGCGUGAGUGAUGAAGGUCUUCGGAUCGUAAAACUCUGUUAUUAGGGAAGAACAUAUGUGUAAGUAACUGUGCACAUCUUGACGGUACCUAAUCAGAAAGCCACGGAUAACUACGUG
rnacentral:rRNA from 1 species